UGAAAAUAUAUAAAGUGUCACUAAUUAAUCAACAUUUAUAACGAAAUUCCACAUCAUAACUAUUUCGUCAGUGAACACAUCACAACACAAAUAAAUGAAUAUAAUCGCUUGUUUAGACUUCAUGAUAAUGACAUAAAAAUGUAAAUAACAUAAUAUACACAUGUUGACGAAAUAUUCGGUUUGUUAAUAGUUUUCUGCUUAAUAUUCCAAAGAUAGUUAUAAUUCGAUAAUGCAGCUAAACACAAGUAGCCGAUUUAUGUAAAGUGUUUGUCGGGGUACAAUGAUCCGAACAAUGGUUUCAGUCGAAAUGAUCAAAUGACAUUCUAUGACAUGAAUCAACUUCGUUAAAAUAAAAAUGAAAUAUAUGAUAAAAAUUAUAACAAAUAUCGACAACGAUUAAAGAAAUUAUAUUUAGUUGGUAGAAUAAUUGAUUUUUUCGUCAAAUAAUAUCGAGAAUCCAACUAAACAGUAAAAAUCCAGAAUAAAUCUUUUACAAAAAUUAUGUAACACUAUGAAGUAAGCAGUGACAUGAAAAAUUCUGAGCAUAUUCUUGAAAAAUAUUAUUGUCGAUAAUAUGGAAGAUUUAUAUGGUUUAUAUUAGAAUAAUAGAAUAGCAAUAAUCAACAGAAAUAAAAAUAACCAGUUUCGAUUAAUUUAUUCGUAUAAACAAUGAGCAUAUUGAUAAUUAUCUCAGCAUUCAAUAUACAAGUACUAUAUAAGGCAAGUAAUUACUAUUAGUAAUACUUUCCAGAAAUAAGUCAAUAAAGUUAUAAACGAAGAUGAGAAGAGAGAAAUGAUUGGGAUUAAAAUGGCAUUGGAUAAUUUUCUCACUAUGUCCCAACAAUUCAUGUAGUUUUAAUGGAACACUGAGACCUACGUUUUGUGAUGUUGAAAUUAACACAAAAAUAUUGUAGUUAUACAAUAUAUAUUGAUGAUAUAGAUUGUUAAAAAUUUGAAAAAAAAAAGAAAAGAUAAUUUAAUUUUUACAUAAAAUAUCUUCGGUGGUGACAAUGUUUGAUUGUAUGUUUUGGUAGUUGUUGUAAAAAUUACAAAGAAUUAUUUAUUAAUUUGUUCAAGCAUAAAAUAAAACAUAAAAGAAGAAAAUAUUUCAAAAUACUAUCUUAUACAGAGAGUUCAGUAAGUAAGGCAACAGGUCAAUUGUUACAAACAAUGACAACAACAGAAAUCCGUUUCCUUAAUUACUGUAUACUUUAUACAUAGACACACUCAAAAUUUUGACACUUAUUUCAUUCACUCUACACAGUCAAAAAUAUUCUAUAUUUAUAUUUCAGAUUUCUUAGUUAAUAUAAAUAUAAUAGUACCAUAUUUUCAAAAA